AAUAAAGAUGAAUAAUUAAUAAUUAUUUAUACAGGGAGAGGAAAAUUGUUCUCAUGAUUUAAUCAAAAAUAGAAAAGGCCACCGCUUCUCUCACUCGGCCAUCAAGAAGCCCUUUUGUGAAGUUGCCCUCCAGACGAGAGAAUCCCUAAAAAGGCCCUAUUUUCCUCUGCCACUCUCAAUCCUCCCAGCCAGGGAUGGGUGACAAGAAGAAGAAGGCUGCUUCAAUAUUCAUCAGGCUUGUCUCAUCUGCUGGCACUGGAUUCUUCUAUGUGAAGAAGAAGAAUCCUCGGAAAAUGUUAGAGAAGCUCGAGUUCCGGAAAUAUGACCCUCGGGUAAAUCGUCAUGUUCUGUUCACAGAGGCAAAGAUGAAGUGAAGGAGAAUCCUCUUCGUGGUAUCUCUCUCUGUUCUGAGUCAGAUUCACAGAUCAGUGUACUUAUCACUGAUGUUUUUUGGUUUAGCAUAUAUUUUUUUAUGGGUAUUUUUUUAUUUAGCAUAUUGAUUAUCAACUCUUUCUUUUGUGUGGAUGACUUGAUCUCUUGAUAGCCAUCUUUCAUUAUGGGUUAUGCUGUUUCUAAGACAUGGCUCACAAUUUGAAAUAGUGAGGAUCUUCAUGGGUUAAUUGCAGCUGCA